ensembl:lncRNA
GGGCAUGGCAGGGAGCCUCAGGCGGACGGCCUGGGGGCAAGCAGAGGCAGAGUGAAGGCGGAACCCUUCAGGAGGCCGGCGGCAAGGACGAUGAGGGCUCAGUCCCUCAGGAGACCUGCAGUGGCACAGAACCCCCUCAGAAGGCCGGCAGCGGUGAAGGCGGAACCCUUCAGGAGGCCGGCGAAGGCGAGGUAGAGGGCGGGUCCCCUCAGGAGGAAGGCGAGGUAGAGGGCGGGUCCCCUUAAGAGGAAGGCCAGGUAGAGGGCGGGUCCCCUCAGGAGGAAGGCCAGGUAGAGGGCGGGUCCCCUCAGGAGGCAGGCCAGGUAGAGGGCGGGUCCCCUCAGGAGGCAGGCCAGGUAGAGGGCGGGUCCCCUCAGGAGGACAGGGUAGGGGGCGGGUCCCCUCUCGUAGAAGGCCAGGCAGAGGGCGGGUCCCCUGAGGAGGCAGGCCAGGUAGAGGGCGGGUCCCCUCAGGAGGCAGGCCAGGUAGAGGGCGGGUCCCCUCUGGUGGACAGGGUAGAGGGCGGGUCCCCUCUUGUAGAAGGCCAGGCAGAGGGCGGGUCCCCUCUGGUAGAAGGCCAGGUAGGAACGGAGGGCGUGCCUCCCCUGGACGGUCUGGAGGGCGGACCCCCUCCGGCAGGAGCAGAGGCCGGUCCCCCUCUGGAAGGAGCAGGGGGCGGGCCCCCUCAGGCAGGAGCGGAGGCCGGUCCCCCUCUGGAAGGAGCAGGGGGCGGGCCCCCUCAGGCAGGAGCGGAGGGCGGACCACCUCAAGCAGGCGAAGAGGCCGGUCCCCCUCUGGAAGGCGAGGAGCGGGCUCAGGAACCGGACAGGGCUCGGGGACCGGAGUCAGUGCGGGAGCUGGAGUGCCAGGAGGAACCGGGUGGUACCCCAAACUCUUCCAGCGAUCUAUUGCCUUCAUAAUAAAUAAAUCCUCCCACUCACGGCUAACUUGAUCGUCCGCUGGGUCCAUUGUCUUAUUUAUUUUGGCUAUCAAAUCCUCCAACUUACGGUCAAAUUGCGCGUCCGCUGGGUCCCAUCGUGACGGUGCUGUCAUUCUGUUAAGG